CAUCAGAAUAUAUAUAGAGUGAAUGAUCUUAAAGCUAGAAAUAUUUCAGCUCACUCAAAUGAUUCUAAAAGAAAGAAAAUGUAAAUGCUUUUGAAAGAAACUGAGCUUAAAAUGAAUCAUUUUCUGUUUAAUAUUUCUAUACAUUUUCUCUAAGAUUAAGAGAAAGCAUAACUUAUUCUUGAAGGAUUAGAAAGAGUAAUUGCCACAAAUUUUGAAUAAUACUAGAUUACUCUACAUUCUCGAUAUCAUAGAAUUUCAGUCUUAUUCACGUUUAUCAUUAAAAUCUGAAAUUCAACAAUAGAAAAGAAUGAUUAAAGAAGAAUGCAUCUUUUGAGGGGGAGCUUUAGAUAUUCAGUAUCUUUUUAUGGAUUGAUUUUAAUGAACCUCCUUAUAUUGCAAGACUUGCUUUAAUUAUAUAAUGAGUUUAUACCUUGAGAUGAGUUCUAUAAAAGUUGUCUUAUCUCAAACAUUGAGUCUUAUGAAUAUAAGCUGAAACUUAUAGAAAAUAUAUUUUUUUUUGAGAUUGACAAUUUUACUGAACAUUAUCUUCAAAUUCUAAACUCUUAAAUAGAAUGAUCAAUUGAGGGGGAGAAAGAAAAUCUCAGAAGGAGAGAUCUUAUGGAACUUAAUCGCAUAAAUCUAUAACUAAAGGAGAGAGAAAGCAUACUAAAUGAAAAGUGAUCCUAAUGCUCUCCAAAAUGUAUCAUCUGAAAUUUAAAUAUACAAAUCUUUAUGAUACACCCUGAGGCGUGUUAUUUGGUUAAUAUAUCUUAUGCAUAAAUCAUGAACCAAAUUGCAAUUCAAACAGUUGAUCUUAAGAGCCUCUAACUUAAUGAAAAAGGGGGAGAAUUAUCUGUUGAAUUUUCUUGAGUAUCUCUUAGAAAACCUAUUUUUGAAAUUUACUGAUGAGGUCUCAUUGGCUUGUUCUUUAGAACUUCAAUUUUUGUGCCAAUUCAUUAUUAUAUGUACCAAAAUUUUUUUUGGAUUAAAGUUUUUAUAAGAACCUUCAAAGCUUUGAAUUUUAUGUAUGCUCUAAGAUAUAUCAUAAAUUGCAUGAAUUCAUGUUUUUNN
rnacentral:lncRNA from 1 species